rnacentral:misc_RNA from 1 species
AGAACCCUGUUGACAAAAUUAUUUAACCAGGACAACUGGUUACAACAAGAAGCAAAUAGGCAACAAUAAAGUGAUUGAUCUCAUCGCAAGGAAAUGCUAUCUAAACACCAAGCUUCCAUUCUGUUGACGUCUCAAAUUUUCAAUAAGUGACUGGUAGAAUGAUUUCAGCGCUUUAAUAUCACUACCCUGCACUUUCUGACAAUACUGCUCAGCUAAAUCUUGAGGGCAAUGAGCACUUUGCAAGCUUUUUGAUACAAAAUGAACAAGAAAAUCAUUGCCAAAUUUCUCAAACAUGACCUUCUGAACCAAUACAAUCUCG